rnacentral:rRNA from 1 species
GACGAAUGCUGGCGGCGUGCUUAACACAUGCAAGUCGAACGGUGAAGGGGAGCUUGCUCCCUGGAUCAGUGGCGAACGGGUGAGUAACACGUGGGCAACCUGCCCCUCACUUCGGGAUAACCAUUCGAAAGGAUGGCUAAUACCGGAUAUGAGCCCUGGAGACAUCUCCGGGGGUGGAAAGUUUUUCGGUGAGGGAUGGGCCCGCGGCCUAUCAGAGUGUUGGUGAGGUAACGGCCCACCAAGGCGAAGACGGGUUGCCGGCCUGAGAGGGCGACCGGCCACACUGGGACUGAGACACGGCCCAGACUCCUACGGGAGGCAGCAGUGGGGAGUAUUGCACAAUGGGCGCGAGCCUGAUGCAGCGACGCCGCGUGAGGGAUGAAGGCCUUCGGGUUGUAAACCUCUUUCAGUAGGGACGAAGCGCAAGUGACGGUACCUAAAGAAGAAGCACCGGCUAACUACGUGCCAGCAGCCGCCGUAAGAC